rnacentral:tRNA from 3 species
GAAAUAUGAAGUUCAAAUUUAAGCUUCUAACUUUAAAUUUAAACGAUUAAAUUUCGUUUAUAUUUCU